rnacentral:rRNA from 1 species
AGCGAACGCUGGCAGCAGGCCUAACACAUGCAAGUCGAGCGCCCCGCAAGGGGAGCGGCAGACGGGAGAGUAACACGUGGGAACAUGCCCUUCAGUUCGGAACAACCCAGGGAAACUUGGGCUAAUACCGGAUACGUCCGUAAGGAGAAAGAUUUAUCGCUGAAGGAUUGGCCCGCGUCCGAUUAGCUAGUUGGGGAGGUAAUGGCUCACAAAGCGGACGAUCGGUAGUUGGUCUGAGAGGAUGAUCAGCCUCACGGGGACUGAGACACGGCCCAGACUCCUACGGGGGGCAGCAGUGGGGAAAAUUGGAAAAUGGGCGAAACCCUGAUCCAGCCAGGCCGGGUGGGAGAGAAAGGCCCAAGGGUUGUAAGCCCUUUCGGCGGGGAAGAUAAUGACGGUACCCGCAGAAGAAGCCCCGGCUAACUUCGUGCCAGCCGCCGCCGUAAUAC